GAUGGCAUUAUCAGACUUGUGACAAGGUUCUAACAAGUCUGAUAUAGUCAUGAUAUAACAAGAAUGUUACAAGAUUGACGACACGACACAAAGUUGUAACAAUAUAGUCAUAUCAUGGCUGUAUCAGACUUGUUGGAACAACCUUGGAACAAGACUGAUAAUAUCAAC